rnacentral:rRNA from 1 species
UACGUAGCAGCAAGCGUUGUUCGGAGUUACUGGGCGUAAAGGGUGUGUAGGCGGUUAUUUAAGUUUGGUGUGAAAUCUCCCGGCUCAACCGGGAGGGUGCGCCGAAUACUGAAUGACUUGGAGUCCGGGAGAGGGUAGUGGAACUUCCCAGUGUAGAGGUGAAAUCGUAGAUAUUCGCAAGAACACCAGUGGCGAAGGCGGCUCACUGGCCCGAUACUGACGCUGAGGCACGAAAGCGUGGGGAGCAAACAG